UGCCAGACUCCUACGGGAGGCAGCAGUGGGGGAUAUUGCACAAUGGGGGAAACCCUGAUGCAGCGACGCCGCGUGUGGGAAGACGGUCCUCUGGAUUGUAAACCACUGUCCCCAGGGACGAAGAUGACGGUACCUGGGGAGGAAGCUCCGGCUAACUACGUGCCAGCAGCCGCGGGAAUACGUAGGGAGCGAGCGUUGUCCGGAAUUACUGGGUGUAAAGGGAGCGUAGACGGCCAGACAAGUCAGAAGUGAAAGCCCAGGGCUCAACUCUGGGACUGCUUUUGAAACUGCCGGGCUGGAGUGCAGGAGAGGUAAGCGGAGUUCCUAGUGUAGCGGUGAAAUGCGUAGAUAUUAGGAGGAACACCAGUGGCGAAGGCGGCUUACUGGACUGUAACUGACGUUGAGGCUCGAAAGCGUGGGGAGCAAACAGGAUUAGAUACCCGUGUAA
rnacentral:rRNA from 1 species